UUUGUUUUAAUACUGAUGAUUUUGGCAUACAGCUCAUGAAAACCCAAAAUUCCUAUCUCAAAAAAUUUGCAUAUCAUGAAAAGGUUCUUUAAACGAGCUAUUAACCUAAUCAUCUGAAUCAACUAAUUAACUCUAAACACCUGCAAAAGAUUCCCGAGGCUUUUAAAAACUCCCAGCCUGGUUCAUUACUCAAAACCGCAAUCAUGGGUAAGACUGCCGACCUGACUGCUGUCCAGAAGGCCAUCAUUGACACCCUCAAGCGAGAGGGUAAGACACAAAAGAAAUUUCUGAACGAAUAGGCUGUUCCCAGAGUGCUGUAUCAAGGCACCUCAUUGGGAAGUCUGUGGGAAGGAAAAAGUGUGGCAAAAAACGCUGCACAACAAGAAGAGGUGACCGGACCCUGAGGAAGAUUGUGGAGAAGGACCGAUUCCAGACCUUGGGGGACCUGCGGAAGCAGUGGACUGAGUCUGGAGUAGAAACAUCCAGAGCCACCGUGCACAGGCAUGUGCAGGAAAUGGGCUACAGAGAAGCAGCACUGGACUGUUGCUCAGUGGUCCAAAGUACUUUUUUCGGAUGAAAGCAAAUUUUGCAUGUCAUUCGGAAAUCAAGGUGCCAGAGUCUGGAGGAAGACUGGGGAGAAGGAAAUGCCAAAAUGCCUGAAGUCCAGUGUCAAGUACCCACAGUCAGUGAUGGUCUGGGGUGCCAUGUCAGCUGCUGGUGUUGGUCCACUGUGUUUUAUCAAGGGCAGGGUCAAUGCAGCUAGCUAUCAGGAGAUUUUGGAGCACUUCAUGCUUCCAUCUGCUGAAAAACUUUAUGGAGAUGAAGAUUUCGUUUUUCAGCACGACAUGGCACCUGCUCACAGUGCCAAAACCACUGGUAAAUGGUUUACUGACCAUGGUAUUACUGUGCUCAAUUGGCCUACCAACUCUCCUGACCUGAACCCCAUGGAGAAUCUGUGGGAUAUGCCAAGACGCAAGACCCAACACUCUGGAUGAGCUUAAGGCCGCUAUCGAAGCAUCCUGGGCCUCCAUAACACCUCAGCAGUGCCACAGGCUGAUUGCCUCCAUGCCACGCCGCAUUGAAGCAGUCAUUUCUGCAAAAGGAUUCCCGACCAAGUAUUGAGUGCAUAACUGAACAUAAUUAUUUGAAGGUUGCCUUUUUUUGUAUUAAAAACACU